GAGUUUGAUCCUGGCUCAGAACGUACGCUGGCGGCACGCCUAACACAUGCAAGUCGAACGAAGUAGCAAUACUUAGUGGCAGACGGGUGAGUAACAUGUGGGUAUCUGCCCUUUGGCCUGGAAUAACACGAGGAAACUUGUGCUAAUACCGGAUAAGUCUUUACGGAGAAAGCUUUAUGCACCAUUGGAUGAGCCCGCACUUGAUUAGUUUGUUGGUAGGGUAAUGGCCUACCAAGACUGUGAUCAAUAGCUGAUUUGAGAGGAUGAUCAGCCACAUUGGGACUGAGACACGGCCCAAACUCCUACGGGAGGCAGCAGUGGGGAAUCUUGCACAAUGGAGGAAACUCUGAUGCAGCGAUGCCGCGUGAGUGAAGAAGGCCCUUGGGUUGUAAAGCUCUUUCGUCGGGGAAGAAAAUGACUGUACCCGAAUAAGAAGGUCCGGCUAACUUCGUGCCAGCAGCCGCGGUAAUACGAAGGGACCUAGCGUAGUUCGGAAUUACUGGGCUUAAAGAGUUCGUAGGUGGUUGAAAAAGUUGGUGGUGAAAUCCCAGAGCUUAACUCUGGAACUGCCAUCAAAACUUUUCAGCUAGAGUUUGAUAGAGGAAAGCAGAAUUUCUAGUGUAGAGGUGAAAUUCGUAGAUAUUAGAAAGAAUACCAAUUGCGAAGGCAGCUUUCUGGAUCAUUACUGACACUGAGGAACGAAAGCAUGGGUAGCGAAGAGGAUUAGAUACCCUCGUAGUCCAUGCCGUAAACGAUGUGUGUUAGACGUUGGAAAUUUAUUUUCAGUGUCGCAGCGAAAGCGAUAAACACACCGCCUGGGGAGUACGACCGCAAGG
rnacentral:rRNA from 1 species